GCCAGUUUGGCUCAGUGGAUAGAGCAUCAGCCUGUGGACUGAAGGGUCCCAGGUUCGAUUCCUGUCAAGGGCA
rnacentral:tRNA from 1 species